GACGAACGCUGGCGGCGUGCCUAAUACAUGCAAGUAGAACGCACAGUUUAUACCGUAGCUUGCUACACCAUAGACUGUGAGUUGCGAACGGGUGAGUAACGCGUAGGUAACCUGCCUGGUAGCGGGGGAUAACUAUUGGAAACGAUAGCUAAUACCGCAUAAUAUUGAUUAUUGCAUGAUAAUUGAUUGAAAGAUGCUAUUGCAUCACUACCAGAUGGACCUGCGUUGUAUUAGCUAGUAGGUGAGGUAACGGCUCACCUAGGCGACGAUACAUAGCCGACCUGAGAGGGAGAGCGGCCACACUGGGACUAGGACACGGCCCAGACUCCUACGGGAGGCAGCAGUAGGGAAUCUUCGGCAAUGGACGAAAGUCUGACCGAGCAACGCCGCGUGAGUGAAGAAGGUUGUCGGAUCGUAAAGCGCUGUUGUAAGAGAAGAACGGGUGUGAGAGUGGAAAGUUCACACUGUGACGGUAUCUUACCAGAAAGGGACGGCUAACUACGUG
rnacentral:rRNA from 1 species